rnacentral:rRNA from 1 species
UACAGAGGUCUCAAGCGUUGUUCGGAUUCAUUGGGCGUAAAGGGUGCGUAGGCGGCGCGGUAAGUCGGGUGUGAAAGCCCUGGGCUCAACCUGGGAAUUGCAUUGGAUACUGGCAGGCUAGAGUGCGGUAGAGGAUGGCGGAAUUCCCGGUGUAGCAGUGAAAUGCGUAGAGAUCGGGAGGAACAUCUGUGGCGAAGGCGGCCAUCUGGACCAGCACUGACACUGAGGCACGAAAGCGUGGGGAGCAAACAGG